rnacentral:lncRNA from 1 species
GGGCACCCCGCUGCCCGCCGCCUCCGCCGAGCCGAGCGGCGGUGGCUGCGGAAGCGACUGGGGCUGCGCGGACACCAGCGCCCCGGAGCCCGCGAGGAGCCUGGGGGCCCCGGGCUGGAGGAAGAGCCGAGCACCGGCGCAGCCUGCGGGACUGGCACUCACCGGGCCUCUCAACCCCCAGACCUUGCAACUGCAGUUGGAGCUGGAGGAGGAAGAGGAGGAAGCUGGGGAUCGAAAAGAGGGAGGGGAUGAACAGCAGGAGGCGCCCCCCGGGGAGGAGCUGGAGCCCAGGACCCGCGCGGGGGCCGCCGACGGACUGGUCCUGGACGUGCUGGGUCAGCGGCGCCCGCCCCUCUCCCAGAGACAAGUCUUUUGCUCCGUCUACUGCGUGGAGAGCGACCUGCCCGAGGCCCCCGCCUCGGAGCAGCUCUCGCCGCCCGCGUCGCCACCUGGGGCUCCGCCAGUGCUGAAUCCUCCCAGCACCCGCUCUUCCUUCCCCAGCCCCCGACUGUCCCUCCCAACGGAUUCCCUCUCCCCCGACGGCGGCAGCAUCGAGCUGGAGUUCUACCUGGCGCCUGAGCCGUUCUCCAUGCCCAGCCUGUUGGGAGCUCCACCCUACUCUGGCCUGGGCGGUGUAGGGGAUCCCUAUGCGCCCCUCAUGGUGCUGAUGUGCCGGGUGUGCCUGGAAGACAAGCCCAUCAAGCCCCUGCCUUGCUGCAAGAAGGCCGUGUGCGAGGAGUGCCUCAAAGUCUACCUGAGCGCCCAGAUACACUAGAGAAGACCACGAGAAUAUUUACUGAAAGUAUAUGUAUUUUCUGUACUACUUCUGGCACCAAUAUUCUGCCUGGUAUUCUUUAGCUAACUUUUAUGUGAGAAUUCUUUAUCUCUUCAAUUAGAUUAAAAUACUUUAGAGCAACAUGAAAGAAAAAUAGGAGUAUAUGAAUCUGAUUGCUUAUUUUUCAAGAAGAAACAUGGAAAGGAUAAACUAGAAACAAUGAAAGAGUCACCUAUAGAGGUGAGUGGGAAUGCUGUGGAAGAGAUAGUGUGUAGUAAAAUACUCUGAGUAUACCUUUCUAAGUACAAAUACUCUCUGAGUGAAAAUACUCCUAGUAUACUUUUCAUGUAGUUUUGACAUUUGGACCAUAUUAAUUUUACUUAGCAAAAUGAAAUUAAAUCAAAAGGAUAUUUUAGAAAGCAAGCCUGAAAAAAGAAUAGGAACAGAAACCAAGGAACUAAGCUAUUUAUCAAAUUGAUUGCAUAAUCACACAGAAAAUUCAUUCAGGCAAUUUUAAACACAGUGCCCUAUGUUCUGAGUAGAAAAAGAAUUUCAAAAAAUAUUGGUCUGUAU